ACAGGUACAAACUGUUGCCUAAGGAUACAGGGUGUGUGGCUGGUGGCCUCAACAGGCCCCACGGCUCAGGCACUCAGACCCAAGCUGGUCCCUCAAAAUUCAUUCUGUCAAGUUAACUGUGGAGGUUGUUGUUGCUAUUGCAGACUAAAUGGUUUUCCUGGGAACUCUGACUCUGGCCACAAGAUCAAGACUGACAAAUUUCCUUUCUCUGUUUAUGGAGGGAGACUUCACAACAUUCACUGAAAGAGGAGCAAAGGACCUGGUUUUUGCCAUGACUGGCUUUGGCCCCGUGAAUGAAUGUUUUUCUGGCAUUGGAAAGCGGAUAGCAAAGAGAGCAGAACCACAAAUGGGCUAUGAGGAAAUGUGUUCAAUGAAGAAAACAAAAUCUCUGACAAGAUCCAACAUAGGACAACAUCUCAGCAUCUUCUGUGAUUUGUGAACCCAAGUAAAGCACUUCUUAGAGUUAUCUGGCACAUUCGCAACUAAUAGCUU
rnacentral:lncRNA from 1 species